GGGUGCCGCGUUCGGAAUGAGUACGAUUCGAACCACCUAACGAGGAACGAUCGGAGGGCAAGUCUGGUGCCAGCAGCCGCGGUAAUUCCAGCUCCAAUAGCGUACGUUAAAGUUGCUGCAGUUAAAAAGCUCGUAGUUGAACGUUCGGGUUCCGCGGGACGGGGCCGCCCCGCGAGGGACGGCGCCGCCCCGGGGCUCGUGAUAUCUCAUCUCGCCGCCCGUCGCGAGGCUGACGGAGGGAUGGAUGAGGUUACCUGGAAAAAAUCGGGGCGAUCUAGGCGGGCGAACCUCGCCAACGAACGAUCGGACAUGGGAUAACGGAAGAGGGCGUCGGCUCGACUUCGUCGGUUCCUCGGGCCGAGGCACGUACGGUGAAUAGGGGACGGUCGGGGCCGCCCGUACCGGGUCGUGAGAGGUGAAAUUCUAGGAUCGACCCGAGACGAACCGCCGCGAAGCAUUCGGCAAGGACGCUUUCAUUAAUCAAGAACGAAAGUCGGGGGAUCGAAGACGAUCAGAUACCGUCGUAGUCCCGACCGUAAACGAUGCCGACCGAGGGCCCGGAGGA
rnacentral:rRNA from 1 species